ACCGGCUAUGUUUAUAAAAAAACUUGCUGUAAAUCACCGCGGAGGACGAGAGCGAAAGGCUUUUCCCUCCCACCGCCUUCUCUCAACCUAUUCGAGGAAGAGCAGAAAAAGAGCCAGAGUUUUUGCUGUACAAAUAUUCCUUGUCUCCGAACCCUGCGGAGAGAAAAGAAAACCCAGGGAUCUCUUAGCAAAUCGAUGCAGCUUUUCGUUCUCUCUUUCUUCUGCCAUCGCCGCAUUUGCAUUUCCUAGCUCCCCCUCUCUGAAUCCUUCGUUGGAGAUCGAACGAGACCCGGAUAUCGACGGUGAUUAGGAAAACUAGAGGGAGAGAGGGGCAAAUCUGAGGAGAAAAUGGCCAGCCGGAUGAAAGAGGAUGAGAAGAACGAAAUGAUAAUCCGAGGGCUGCUGAUGCUUCAUGCGAACCGGAGAUGCAUUAAUUGCAAUAGUCUGCAUCUGUAGACCGCGUUUAAAAGAAUGCCGAAAAUCAGCAGUUUAGCAGUGCAUAAUCACAUGCUCUGGCAGGGGCGUUAACUUGUAUAACCUGAUGAAGCACCAACCCUUCUGGUCCGUUUUUAGAAUUACUCUUCCCAUCUAUGGCAUCUUAUCAAGGGUCAGUACAAAACAUUGCUCUACGAAACCUACUAUGCAGUUGCAGCUUUGUAACUCCUUCCCCGCGACAGAUACCAUCACAGCAACCAUCCUAACUAUCAUCCGCAUCUCCAAGUAAAGUUGUACCAUAUCCUUUAAAUUUGCCACUCUAGAUAUCUUAGAAUAGCCUCUCUUUCUAAAUGUUGCUAAUGCCAGGAACAAAAAUCAGGUCCAUAGAUGAUGCAACUGUUUCCAAGCAUCACAUCUCAACAUGUACCUAACGAUAUGGUUUCGAUGGUGUAAGACUUUUGAUAAUUAUCUGUUAUUUCUUUGCUCUUCAAUAAUCAUUCGAGCUAAUUACAAGA